rnacentral:rRNA from 1 species
GUAGGGAGCGAGCGUUAUCCGGAUUCAUUGGGCGUAAAGAGCGCGUAGGCGGCCUCUCAAGCGGGAUCUCUAAUCCGAGGGCUCAACCCCCGGCCGGAUCCCGAACUGGGAGGCUCGAGUUCGGUAGAGGCAGGCGGAAUUCCCGGUGUAGCGGUGGAAUGCGCAGAUAUCGGGAAGAACACCGAUGGCGAAGGCAGCCUGCUGGGCCGCAACUGACGCUGAGGCGCGAAAGCUAGGGGAGCGAACAGGAUUAGAUACCCUGGUAGUCCUAGCCGUAAACGAUGGAUACUAGGUGUGGGGGGCUCCGCCCUCCGUGCCGCAGCCAACGCAUUAAGUAUCCCGCCUGGGGAGU